UACGUAGGGACCAAGCGUUGUUCGGAUUUACUGGGCGUAAAGGGCGCGUAGGCGGCGCGGUAAGUCACUUGUGAAAUCUCUGAGCUUAACUCAGAACGGCCAAGUGAUACUGCAGUGCUAGAGUGUGGAAGGGGCAAUCGGAAUUCUUGGUGUAGGCGGUGAAAUGCGUAGAGAUCAGCAGGAAUACCCGUGGCGAAGGCGGCCCCUGGGCCGUACCUGACGCUGAGGCGCGAAGGCUAGGGGAGCGAACGGG
rnacentral:rRNA from 1 species